rnacentral:lncRNA from 1 species
AGCACUUAAUGUUUUAUCAAAAGUCAUAAACUUAGGGUUUAGAGUUAAAUGGUGGGGUUUAAGAUUUAGGGUUUAGGGUUUAGGGUUUAUAGUUUAGGGUUUAGGGUUUAGGGUUUAGGGUUUAGGGUUUAGGGUUUAGGGUUUAUAGUUUAGGGUUUAGGGUUUAGGGUUUGGUUUAGGGUUUAGGGUUUAGGGUUUAGGGUUUAGGGUUUAGGGUUUA